rnacentral:lncRNA from 1 species
UUUAAUUUAAUUAUUUUUGAUUGUGUCAUAAUCAAUAGCUCAUGUUAUUUUAGUGCAAUCUAUGGAAGAAAUGUUUAAUAAUUUUUUAAGGAAGAUGGAGGAGCAAUCCUCCCGAACACCAUCAUUGUCUAUGGCAGCAGCUGCCACAACUCUUGCAACAAUAACAACAACAACAUCAUCUGCUACAAGUGCAGCUGCUGCUGAUUUGUCAUAUGAGGCUUUUAUAGCCUACAGGAGGAUUCACCCUGGACCCAUAUCCUACGGGGCCCAUUGG